CCGUAGUUUGAUAAGCUCCCAAAUGACUCCAAUUUUAUUUUUGGAGGGGCAACAUUUUCUUCUCCUAAGCUUGAAUUGUCAUUCCCUUCUCCCAUUCUAUAAAAUGAAUUUUGAUCUAAUAACGUAAGUAGAUUUGAAUUAUACACAUGUAUGUAUAAAUUAAUAACACAUCCACACACUCAUCACAUGGUCCUCACAUAAAUCCAUAUAAAUAAAGAAGCUAUGU
rnacentral:lncRNA from 1 species